rnacentral:rRNA from 1 species
AUUAUCUAUAAUUAUUAAGUAUUAUAUUUAACGAAUUCAGACGAGCUAAAUUUUAAGCUAUAUAGAAGUAUAUUUCUUGUUGUUACAUAACCAAAGUAUUAUUAGAAUUUAGGGGUGAUAGGCCUAUCAAGUCUGAUGAUAUCUUUUUAUCAAAAAAAAAUAUUUAGUAUAAUAUCAAAUUAAAAAUGAUUAGGUUUUUAAUAUACAUUAAUUAAAUUUAAAAUCUUAUAUUGUAUUUUUAAUAAAUACAUUUUUAUGUAUAUAAAUAUUACUUAUAUAGUUUUGUGUAAAAUAUUUGAUUAUUUAAGUUGUCUAUCUUAUUAAAUUAAUUAUGAUAAUAUUAGUAUUAAAUUAAACAAUAUUAAGGAACUCGGCAAAUAGACUUCUCAACUGUUUAUCAAAAACAUGCCUUUAGUUAAAAUUAAAGGUUACCUCUGCUCAAUGAUAUUUUAAAUAGCCGCAGUACCUUGACUGUGCAAAGGUAGCAUAAUCAAUUGGCUUAUAAUUGAAGUCUAGUAUGAAUGGGAUACUGUGAAGUGUCUGUCUUAUAUUUGCUAUAAAGGAACUUGCUAAUUAAGUGAAAAUACUUAAUUAUAGAAAAAAGACGAGAAGACCCUAGAAAUUUUUUUAAAAUUUACCUUUUUGAUUUUGUUGGGGCGACAGGGUUACAAAGUAAAACUAACCUUAUAUUAUAUGAAACUAAUAAGAUGAAAAAAUAAAUUACUCUAGGGAUAACAGCAUAAUUUACAUUAAGAUUGUGACCUCGAUGUUGGACUAGGGAAGUUUCUACUCAAAAAGUAGACUUGUGGGCUCUGUUCGAGCUAUAAUUCCUACAUGAUCUGAGUUCAGACCGG